AUACGUAGGGGGCGAGCGUUGUCCGGAAUGAUUGGGCGUAAAGGGCGCGUAGGCGGCUUUGCAAGUCAGAAGUGGAAGUCCAUUUUUCAAGGAUGGAAGUGCUACAGAAACUGCGGAGCUUGAGUGCAGGAGAGGUUAUCGGAAUUCCCGGAGUAGCGGUGAAAUGCGUAGAGAUCGGGAGGAACACCAGUGGCGAAGGCGGGUAACUGGACUGCAACUGACGCUGAGGCGCGAAAGUGUGGGGAGCAAACAGGAUUAGAUACCCUGGUAGUCCACACUGUAAACGAUGAAUGCUAGGUGUAGGAGGUAUCGACCCCUUCUGUGCCGUCGUUAACACAAUAAGUACCCCGCCUGGGGAGUACGGUCGCAAGACUAAAACUCAAAUGAAUUGGCGGGG
rnacentral:rRNA from 1 species